AGGAGUUUUGGUGAGGACUUAUGGCAGACUCGCAGCUACGUAGCAAUGCUUUCGAAGGGAAUCCAAGUUGUGAAGAUAGCAGUGAGUUUGGUCAGAGUAAGGCACUAAUAGGAAAUAGGUCUCGGCAUUGUUGGUCAGACCGAGAGGAGGCUACGCUGUUGUUAGCUGCAUUGAAGGAAUUGGUUGCAAUUGGAUGGAAAUCUGAUAAUAGUUUUAGAGCUAGGUAUUUACAACGAUUGCAUGAAGCACUGAAGAGGGAGUUUCCAAGAACAUAUAUAAAGCCUUAUUAAUGUGAAUAUUAAGGAUUCAAGACACAUAUGUUUGCCCCGGACUUGCUCUUGUAAAUAUUUCAACAACCCAACAAACCCAACAAGAAAUGAAACAAUAAAAAAAGGUGGAAAAGGAAGAAGAUGAUGGUGUUAUGAUUUAGAUAGAUGCUUGGAACAUGUGGACCUUCUACAAAACAAUGAAGACAACCCAAGACAACUUUCAUUAGCAAAUAUCUAAUGGCUCCACAAAUUAGCGACACAAGAACUAGCAAGCAUACCUUAACAAAUAAUCUAAGCCCGACAAUAGAAUAAAUGCAACCACAAGAGAUUUUGGAUAAAUCUUCAAUGAUGAAGAUGGGUGUUCAAAUUUAAGUCUUUGUUCUUCAAUAAUGUUCAAAGACUGCCAUGGAAAAACCCUAACAUGUCUAUUUAUACUAGACAUGUUAAAAAGUCACAUCUCCGACAAAACACCCGACCAGGUGUUUCCCAAGGCUCAUUUCACCCGCCCGUGUGAAGUUUCUGGACAAAAACUGAUUUCUCGACAUAAACGCCCAACCGGGCGUUUUGUUUGAGGAAAAACGCCCACCCGCUCGUUUCUUUCUACAUUGCGCGACUUUCUUAAAACGACCAUAACUUCCCCAUCCGGGAUCCGAUUGAGGCAUGCAAGAUACUCACGCGAAGCUCUUUUGACGAUGAAGACAAUGAUGGUCUCAGGAGAGCAUUUCGACUUUAUCUUAAUUGGGAAAUUCGAGUUUGAAUCAGACAUCCACAUUCGGCUUGGGUCCUUGUCAUGUCUCCACCCUCUUCUCGGACCCCAAUCAACCCAUGGCCUUUGACAUUGUUAUAUUCUAUGAUUGUGAAUACCUAGAUUCACAUCACUCAUCUCACGUUUACUCGAAGGUCAGCACUUGGAAGAAGAACUAUUCCUCACUUUGUGCCAUCCUCGAUCGAAGAAGGGUAGGUUUCAAUGUUCACGAUGAUUACAAAAUAGAGUGCGAUGAUGAGCAAUGGUCUCAGAUUGUGCAGGUAUGUGUGUCAUUGAUUCAUGCUUAAGUUAUAAUAGUAGCAUACUGAUACGCUCGGAUUUUUAUCUUUUGGUCCGUUUUUAAUGUCAAAGUUGCGUUACAUGUCUAAUAUUUGCAUAUUUUAUCUAUUUUGUUAUUUUGACAUGUUUUGUGAGAAAUUUGCAUACUUGAGCCUAAAAAGGGAGUCAAAAUGCAAAGUUGGAAAUCUGGAGCUGUUCUGAAUUUCCAGCGGUCCGCUGCAACACUGCCGACGACCGCUGGCGCCCAACAACUGCUAAGCUAGUAGCGGUCCGCUCCGGCAGAGUUGUGCAUGAAGUCAAGACACGCCUAGCGACCGCUGGAGGAUGCGUGGCGACCACUAUCGAGAGUCCAGAGAGUUACGGGAUGUUGGCUAGCGGCCGCCAGCCAAGAGUCAGAAGUCUCGGACCAACCCACAGCGACCGAUGGCCAACGUGCAGCGGCCGGUUGGGAAAUAGUGGCGAACAGAAUUUGCCCUACUUUCUCCCCAAGAUUUACCAUAUUUUGCAACCAUUAUCCUUAUAUGAUGAGGGGUGAUUUUUCCCCUACAAAUAGCCCAAAGCUUCAUCAAAAACAGAUCUUCUCUUUGCCAAAUAUUUCCAAAGCUUAAAAGUUAGAGUGCUUUAUUAUGCAAGUAGUUGAAGAAGGAAUCAAGAUCAUCAA